rnacentral:lncRNA from 1 species
UAAAAACUGCUCCGAAAGGGAGCAGGCGGCUGCCAGGAGCCCUGGAAAGACGGGAGGAAGGGAGGGAAGGCAGGAGGGAGGCUGGCAGCGAGGCGGGAAAGAGAAAGGAGCCCAUGUGCAGCGGGAAGCACAGAGCGCGCAAUUCCUCAGCGGGCAGCGCUUCACCGGGGCAGCGGCACCGGCAAUAAAACACAGCGCAGGGAGAUGCCGCUGCCUCCUGCGGCCCUCCCAGAAGAGCAGCCGCUCCCUUUUCCCGAGAACUUUGUCUGAGUAAGUUUGCACGAUCAGUUUCCAAACACACAACCCCACAGAUAGCAAUGAUCCCAGCGGUACCCUCGGUACCCCGGGGAAGCGCCGGUCACCUGCCCGCACCCCUGCGCGCUCCCCCGCCGCGGGACAAGCCGGCUCCGGCCGGAGCUCCUCCGGCAGCGCGGCCCCCGCUCCGGAGGGCAGGGCAGCACCGCGGGGGCGGGAGCUCGCUCCCAGCCCGCUCCAAGCCUGCUCCGAGCUCGCUCCCGCCGCCGGCCGAGCCCGCCGAGCUCCCCCCGCCAAGCCCGGCGAACUCCCGCCGCUGCCCCGCCGCCGUGCUUUCCCCUUUUCCCGGUUUUGCAGCGCUGGGAUGGGAGGGACGCGUUCCGGGAGCGCGGUCUCUCCAUCCGCGCCCCCCGCACAGCGAUGUCCCGCGGGGGGCGCGGGCGGUGCCGAAGGUGCAGCCGGCACCGAGGGAACAAAGGCGGCGGCGGCGGCGGCGGGGAACAAAGAGCGGCAGCGGGAAUAUCCUCUGAUAAUGGACGAGCUGAUAAAAGCAGGUAGGCCAGUUUGCUUUAUCUCUUCCGGGACCCAUUCACCCUACAGGAGAUCUCUUCUGUUAAUGCGCCAUUGAGUGCAACUGAUAAAAUUACAUCAUCCCACUAGGAGAUGCUCUGCCCAGCGGGAGGAGCCAAGCCUUCCUACCUGGAUAAAAUUUGAGAUUUGGAACACCAGAAGAGCUGGUUUCUACUAGAUUUCUAGAGGAAGACCAGGCCCAUCAACACCACCACGGACCUUCAGAGGAAAACUCCACCCUUCUACAGAACCACACCUGGCACUGCAGGAGGGCUGCAGCCACCAUGGAAUGGGACUGCUGUCACCACCCUGACCCACAGGGUGUCAGGUGUAUUCUGACUCUGGCACUAUUUUUUGUAUUACUGCAUUUUUAUUUUAAUUUUCCUAGUAAAGAACUGUUAUACCUAUUCCCAUAUCUUUGCCUGAGAGCCCCUUAAUUUCAAAAUCAUAAUAAUUUGGAGGGAGGGGCAUUACA